GAUGGGGGAGAGACACUAAAAAGGGCUUCACAGCACGAGCAAUCAGGAUCAACUUGUGGUGAGAAUCACUGGGAGUCUGCGGAUUGACGCACGUUCAGACGCUCUUCGGUAUCUGCGCAUUGAUCUUCAAUCCCAAAGACCGCAUCUGUUCUGCCUAUCCUUAAUCAUCAGGACAUUCGCAUGGUGUACUGCAAAUUUCUUACAGUUUUUGUGAGUUUCCUGCUCGCCUCAACAAGAGCUUGUGAAUUGAUCAUAAAAUGUGGAUUUUCUUUGCAAUUUUGAGUAUUGCCAUAAUCAUGGCUGCUGAUCCGCAGGAAGAAAGAGCUUGGACUACAAUUUACAAUCCCACUAAUUGGGGUGAUUGAUAAUUGCUAUUUGAAUUUGAAAAUAAAUCUAUUUGAUUAGUAUUAUUUUCAAAAAUUUUCUUUUUCUGUCGUGAGUUCAGAUUUGAUGCCCAAGAAGAGAGACUGUAACUCUUCUCUGCCAGGAGGAAGAAUAAAAACAAUCACUGUGUGUAUUUCAUUAUAUUUUAUUUGUCGUUUUCGCUGGUUUUUUUUAAAUAAAAUAAUUCAAUGGGAUAAACAAGAAAAUGAGAGAUGAAGAAGAGCUAACUUAGGCCAUCAAUAAAUAACUUAUUCGUACUGGUAGUGCGUCUUCUGGGCCUGAGGCUGCUUGUAAGACGCCGCUCCGGAGUAC